ACAUAACUAGGUAUUUGAAAAUUUCUGGUAUGUGUCCAGGUCGGUUCUUUCGGGUUCAGAUAUGUUCGGGUUCAUAAUUCAAAUACCUGUAAAACACCUAUAAUUUUUGGAUAUGUAACGGGACUGGAUGUGUUAAAAAAUGGGAAUGGAUUGGUUUGGGUAUUUAAGACCCGAAAAAUUUGAAGUACCCGAAAACCUAAAAAAUACCAAAACACCAAAAAACCUGAAAACUCAAACAAAUACAAAAAAAUAUUUAAAUACCUAAAAGACCCAUAAAUUUACCUAAAAUCUGACCAGA
rnacentral:lncRNA from 1 species